GACGAACGCUGGCGGCGUGCCUAACACAUGCAAGUCGAGCGGACCUUAGUCCAACACUAAGCGCUCAAGGGAUUGAGUGUUUAGUGUUGGACGAAAGGUUAGCGGCGGACGGGUGAGUAACGCGUGAGCAACCUACCUUCCAGGUGGGGGAUAACGUCCCGAAAGGGACGCUAAUACCGCAUAACGUAUAGUUUUCGCAUGGGAGCUAUACCAAAGAUUUAUCGCUGGAAGAUGGGCUCGCGUCUGAUUAGCUAGUUGGUGAGGUAACGGCUCACCAAGGCGACGAUCAGUAGCCGAACUGAGAGGUUGGUCGGCCACAUUGGGACUGAGACACGGCCCAGACUCCUACGGGAGGCAGCAGGUGGGGGAUAUUGCGCAAUGGGGGAAACCCUGACGCAGCAACGCCGCGUGAAGGAAGAAGGCCUUCGGGUCGUAAACUUUUGUCCUCAGGGAAGAAGAACUGACGGUACCUGAGGAGGAAGCCACGGCUAACUACGUG
rnacentral:rRNA from 1 species